rnacentral:rRNA from 1 species
CCUACGGGGGGCUGCAGUGAGGAAUAUUGGUCAAUGGACGAGAGUCUGAACCAGCCAAGUCGCGUGAAGGAUGACUGCCCUAUGGGUUGUAAACUUCUUUUAUAAAGGAAUAAAACGAGGCACGUGUGCCUUUUUGCAUGUCCUUUAUGAAUAAGGAUCGGCUAACUCCGUGCCAGCAGCCGCGGUAAUCCGGAGGAUCCGAGCGUUAUCCGGAUUUAUUGGGUUUAACGGGAGCGUAGAUGGGUUGUUAAGUCAGUUGUGAAAGUUUGCGGCUCAACCGUAAAAUUGCAAUUGAUACUGGGAGUCUUGAGUACAGUUGAGGUAAGCGGAAUUCGUGGUGUAGCGGUGAAAUGCUUAGAUAUCACGAAGAACCCCGAUUGCGAAGGCAGCUUACUAAACUGUGACUGACAUUGAUGCUCGAAAGUGUGGGUAUCAAACAGGAUUAGAUACCCGUGUAGUC